ACAGGAUGCACCGUAGUUUACUACACCGUAUUCUGUGAGUUGCGAACGGGUGAGUAACGCGUAGGUAACCUGCCUGGUAGCGGGGGAUAACUAUUGGAAACGAUAGCUAAUACCGCAUAAGAACAUUUACUGCAUGGUAGAUGUUUAAAAGGUGCAAGAGCGUCACUACCAGAUGGACCUGCGUUGUAUUAGCUAGUUGGUGAGGUAACGGCUCACCAAGGCAACGAUACAUAGCCGACCUGAGAGGGUGAUCGGCCACACUGGGACUGAGACACGGCCCAGACUCCUACGGGAGGCAGCAGUAGGGAAUCUUCGGCAAUGGGGGGAACCCUGACCGAGCAACGCCGCGUGAGUGAAGAAGGUUUUCGGAUCGUAAAGCUCUGUUGUUAAGGAAGAACGUGUGUGAGAGUGGAAAGUUCACACAGUGACGGUACUUAACCAGAAAGGGGCGGCUAACUACGUGCCAGCAGCCGCGGUAAUACGUAGGUCCCGAGCGUUGUCCGGAUUUAUUGGGCGUAAAGCGAGCGCAGGCGGUUAGAUAAGUCUGAAGUGAAAGGCAGUGGCUCAACCAUUGUAGGCUUUGGAAACUGUUUAACUUGAGUGCAGAAGGGGAGAGUGGAAUUCCAUGUGUAGCGGUGAAAUGCGUAGAUAUAUGGAGGAACACCGGUGGCGAAAGCGGCUCUCUGGUCUGUAACUGACGCUGAGGCUCGAAAGCGUGGGGAGCG
rnacentral:rRNA from 1 species